CACCAAAGAAGAAGAAGAAGAAGAUCUUCCGCUGUCACCCCUACUGAGCUCUCGCUGAACCGUGAGUGACCUUCUCCGAGUGGUCCAGUGCACUUAUAUACUAGAGAUGGCAGGUGGUGCAUUCGCUGGCUGGUGGACUAAGGUGGCCCCCUACUACACCAAAGCAUACCAGGAGAUGUGGGUUGGUGUAGGAAUCAUGACUUUCAUGUACUACAAACUUUCAUAUGGAGGAAAGAAGAAAGCAGUGCAGUCAAAGCCUGCCCACUGAUUGGACCACCGGAGCAUCAUUCCCCAUGUCCUCUCUGUAAAUCUUCCCCUGAAUAUCUGUAUUUUGCUUUAUGUAACCAAUAAACCGCUUGAUUUGGAUCACACUAUAGACAAUUCACUGCUUUGUGGUCUUUCACUCUGUCUUUUGCAGGAAAUUCAUAUCAGCAGACAUGAAACUGUUUGGUUGUUAACUUAUGGAAUAAAACUAUUAAAGAA